rnacentral:rRNA from 1 species
GGUUUGAUCCUGGCUCAGAUUGAACGCUGGCGGGAUAUUGCUGGCAUGCAAGUCGAACGGCAGCACGGACUUCGGUCUGGUGGCGAGGGCGAACGGGUGAGUAAUGUAUCGAACGCAGCUCGGUAGCGGGGAUAACUACGCGAAAGUGUAGCUAAUACCGCAUACGCCCUUCGGGGGAAAGCGGGGGACCUUCGGGCCUCGCACUACGAUGGGCUGAUACGGAUUAGCGAAGGUGGGGUAACGGCUCACCAAGGCGACGAUCCGUAGCUGGCUUGAGAGGACGACCAGCCACACUGGGACUGGAGACACGGCCUCAGACUCCAUGGAGGCGCAGGGGGGAAUUUUGACAAUGGGGGAAACCCUGAUCCAGCCAUCCCGCGUGUGCGAUGAAGGCCUUCAAGCCAAAAGCACUUUUGCAGGAAAGAAACGGCACGGGAUAAUACCCCAGGCAACUGACGGUACCUGGCACAAGCACCGGCUAACUACGUGCCAGCAGCCGCGGUAAUACGUAGGGUGCAAGCGCUAACGGAAUUACUGGGCGUAAAGCGUGGUGCAGGCGGUUCGGAGAAAGAUGGAAAUCCAGAGCUUAACUUUGGAACUGCAUUUUUAACUACCGAGCUAGAGUGCGCUCGAGAGUGGAAUUCCGCGUGUAGCAGUGAAAUGCGUAGAUAUGCGGAGGAACACCGAUGGCGAAGGCAGCCUCGGGAUAACACUGACGCUCAUGCACGAAAGCGUGGGGAGCAAACAGGAUUAGAUACCCUGGUAGUCCACGUCUUUAAACGAUGUCAACUAGCUGUUGGGGCCUUCGCCCUGGUAUGGGCAGCUUAACGCGUGAAGUUGACCGUCUGGGGAGUACGGUCGUAGGAUUAAACUCAAAGGAAUUGACGGGGACCCGCACAAGCGGCGGAUGAUGUGUGGAUUAAUUCGAUGCAACGCGAAAAACCUUACCUACCCUUGACAUGUCUGGAAUCCCGAAGAGAUUUGGGAGUGCGUCGGCAAGAGAACCGAACACAGGUGCUGCAUGGCUGUCGUCAGCUCGUGUCGAGAUGUUGCUAAGUCCCGCAACGAGCGCAACCCUGUCAUUAGUUGCCACGAAAGGGCACUCUAAUGAGACUGCCGGUGACAAACCGGAGGAAGGUGGGGAUGACGUCAAGUCCUCAUGGCCCUUAUGGGUAGGGCUUCACACGUCAUACAAUGGUCGGGACAGAGGGUCGCCAACCCGCGAGGGGAGCCAAUCCCAGAAACCCGAUCGUAGUCCGGAUCGCAGUCUGCAACCUGACACUGCGUGAAGUCGGAAUCGCUAGUAAUCGUGGAUCAGCAUGUCGCGGUGAAUACGUUCCCGGGUCUUGCACACACUGCCCGUCACACCAUGGGAGUGGGUUUUACCAGAAGUAGCGAAUGAACCGUAAGGAGUGAUUACCACGGUAGAUUCAUGACUGGGGGUGAAGUCGUAACAAGGUAA